rnacentral:rRNA from 1 species
GUUGUAUAGUCAAGUAAUUAAGUGCAUGUGGUGGAUGCUUGGCAGUCAGAGGCGAUGAAAGACGUGAUAGCCUGCGAAAAGCUCCGGGGAGGCGGCAAAUAUCCUUUGAUCCGGAGAUGUCUGAAUGGGGGAACCCACCUACUUUAAGGUAGGUAUUGCAACAUGAAUACAUAGUGUUGCAAGGCGAACGAGGGGAAGUGAAACAUCUCAGUACCCUUAGGAAAAGAAAUCAAUUGAGAUUCCCUCAGUAGCGGCGAGCGAACGGGGAUCAGCCCAUUAAGUUAUGUGUGUUUUAGUGGAACGCUCUGGGAAGUGCGAACGUAGAGGGUGAUAUUCCCGUACACGAAAGGGCACACAUAAUGAUGACGAGUAGGGCGAGGCACGUGAAACCUUGUCUGAAUAUGGGGGGACCAUCCUCCAAGGCUAAAUACUCCUGACUGACCGAUAGUGAACCAGUACCGUGAGGGAAAGGCGAAAAGAACCCCUGUGAGGGGAGUGAAAUAGAUCCUGAAACCGCAUGCAUACAAGCAGUGGGAGCACCUUCGUGGUGUGACUGCGUACCUUUUGUAUAAUGGGUCAGCGACUUAUAUUCAGUAGCGAGGUUAACCGUAUAGGGGAGCCGUAGAGAAAUCGAGUCUUAAUAGGGCGUUUAGUUGCUGGGUAUAGACCCGAAACCAGGCGAUCUAUCCAUGAGCAGGUUGAAGGUUGGGUAACACUAACUGGAGGACCGAACCCACUGUCGUUGAAAAGCCAGGGGAUGACUUGUGGAUAGGGGUGAAAGGCUAAUCAAGCCUGGUGAUAGCUGGUUCUCCCCGAAAGCUAUUUAGGUAGCGCCUCGGACGAAUACCAUAGGGGGUAGAGCACUGUUUCGGCUAGGGGGUCAUCCCGACUUACCAAACCGAUGCAAACUCCGAAUACCUAUGAGUACUAUCCGGGAGACAGACUGCGGGUGCUAACGUCCGUAGUCAAGAGGAAAACAAUCCAGACCGCCAGCUAAGGCCCCAAAAUCAUAGUUAAGUGGGAAACGAUGUGGGAAGGCAUAGACAGCUAGGAGGUUGGCUUAGAAGCAGCCACCCUUUAAAGAAAGCGUAAUAGCUCACUAGUCGAGUCGGCCUGCGCGGAAGAUGUAACGGGGCUAAAACUAUGUGCCGAAGCUGCGGAUGUAUACUUUGUAUACGUGGUAGGGGAGCGUUCUGUAAGCCGAUGAAGGUGUGUUGAGAAGCAUGCUGGAGGUAUCAGAAGUGCGAAUGCUGACGUGAGUAACGACAAAACGGGUGAAAAACCCGUUCGCCGAAAGACCAAGGGUUCCAGUCCAACGUUAAUCGGGGCUGGGUGAGUCGACCCCUAAGGCGAGGCCGAAAGGCGUAGUCGAUGGGAAAAUGGUUAAUAUUCCAUUACUUCUGUGUAAUGCGAUGAGAGGACGGAGAAGGCUAAAUCAGCCUGGCGUUGGUUGUCCAGGUGAAAGGAUGUAGGCAUGUAUCUUAGGCAAAUCCGGGGUACUCUAUGCUGAGAUCUGAUAGCAAGCUGUACUUGUACAGCGAAGUGGUUGAUGCCAUGCUUCCAGGAAAAGUCUCUAAGCUUCAGUUACACAGGAAUCGUACCCGAAACCGACACAGGUGGUCAGGUCGAGUAGACCAAGGCGCUUGAGAGAACUCUGCUGAAGGAACUAGGCAAAAUGGUACCGUAACUUCGGGAGAAGGUACGCUGUUGUUGGUGAUGGAACUCGCUUCCUGAGCUGACGACAGCCGCAGAAACCAGGCCGCUGCAACUGUUUAUUAAAAACAUAGCACUCUGCAAACACGAAAGUGGACGUAUAGGGUGUGAUGCCUGCCCGGUGCUGGAAGGUUAAUUGAUGGGGUUAGCGUAAGCGAAGCUCUUGAUCGAAGCCCCAGUAAACGGCGGCCGUAACUAUAACGGUCCUAAGGUAGCGAAAUUCCUUGUCGGGUAAGUUCCGACCUGCACGAAUGGCAUAAUGAUGGCGGCGCUGUCUCCAGCAGAGGCUCAGUGAAAUCGAAAUCGCUGUGAAGAUGCAGUGUACCCGCGGCUAGACGGAAAGACCCCGUGAACCUUUACUGCAGCUUGACACUGAACUUUGACCUUACUUGUGUAGGAUAGGUGGGAGGCUUUGAAGCUGGAACGCUAGUUCCAGUGGAGCCGUCCUUGAAAUACCACCCUGGUAAUGUUGAGGUUCUAACUCUGUCCCGUGAUCCGGGACGAGGACCGUGUCUGGUGGGUAGUUUGACUGGGGCGGUCUCCUCCUAAAGAGUAACGGAGGAGUACGAAGGUGCGCUCAGCGUGGUCGGAAAUCACGCGUAGAGUAUAAAGGCAAAAGCGCGCUUAACUGCGAGACCCACAAGUCGAGCAGGUACGAAAGUAGGUCUUAGUGAUCCGGUGGUUCUGUAUGGAAGGGCCAUCGCUCAACGGAUAAAAGGUACUCUGGGGAUAACAGGCUGAUACCGCCCAAGAGUUCAUAUCGACGGCGGUGUUUGGCACCUCGAUGUCGGCUCAUCUCAUCCUGGGGCUGAAGCAGGUCCCAAGGGUAUGGCUGUUCGCCAUUUAAAGAGGUACGCGAGCUGGGUUUAGAACGUCGUGAGACAGUUCGGUCCCUAUCUACCGUGGGCGCUGGAAAUUUGAGAGGAUCUGCUCCUAGUACGAGAGGACCAGAGUGGACGAACCUCUGGUGUACCGGUUGUGACGCCAGUCGCAUCGCCGGGUAGCUAUGUUCGGAAGGGAUAACCGCUGAAAGCAUCUAAGCGGGAAGCCUACCUCAAGAUAAGAUUUCCCUAGGACUUUAUGUCCUCUAAAGAGCCGUUCGAGACUAGGACGUUGAUAGGUUGGAUGUGGAAGCAUAGUGAUAUGUGAAGCUGACCAAUACUAAUUGCUCGUGAGGCUUGACUAUACAACACCCAAGCAGUUG